rnacentral:tRNA from 1 species
AAAAUUUUAAGUUAUUAAAACUAUAAACCUUCAAAGUUUAAAAUAUAUAAAUUAUUAUAUAAAUUUUA